rnacentral:rRNA from 1 species
CAGGAAAAGGAUUUAAGUCCUACCUUAAGUUUCUUCGUAACUCUAAUUACUUCACAAAACUUAAGAGCUAUUCAAAUAAGGUACAGCCUAUUUGAAACAGGAUACAACCUACAACACUGGGUAAUGAAUUCUGCUUAAUAAUUAAGUGGGCCUAAGAGCAGCCACCUUUAAAAAAGCGUUAAAGCUUUAUUAUACUAGCACAAUAAUUACAUUAAUACCCCAAAACCCUUACCCCAUACUGAGUGACUUCAUAAUAUUAUGAAAAACCAUAUGCUAGAACUAGUAACAAGAAGAAGACCUUCUCCAAAAUGUACGUAUAGGCCAAAAUGAACAACUCAUUGGCAUUUACCGCUUAUGAACUAACAGUAGUAACUCAACAAGAAAACUCUACUAUCCAUAACGUUAACCUUACACUAGCACAUUCCCGGAAAGAUUAAAAGGAAGGGAAGGAACUCGGCAAAUAAUAACCUCGCCUGUUUACCAAAAACAUCGCCUCCUGAACAAUCAUAGGAGGUCCAGCCUGCCCAGUGACAAAGUUAAACGGCCGCGGUACCCUAACCGUGCAAAGGUAGCGCAAUCACUUGUUCUUUAAAUAAGGACUAGUAUGAAUGGCAUCACGAGGGUUAUACUGUCUCCCCCACCUAAUCAGUGAAACUGAUCUUCCCGUGAAGAAGCGGGAAUAGAAUUAUAAGACGAGAAGACCCCAUGGAGCUUUAAACUCAACAUCAACUGCCCUCUAAAUAACUUAUUAACCACGCAGAUCUGACAGUUAGUUUUCGGUUGGGGUGACCGCGGAGUAAAACAAAACCUCCACGAUGAAAGGAAUUAACCUCCUAAUCCAAGAGCUACAGCUCUAAGAAUCAACAAAUUGACAAAACUUGAUCCAAAUAUUUUGAUCAACGAACCAAGUUACCCUGGGGAUAACAGCGCAAUCCAUUUCAAGAGCUCAUAUCGACAAAUGGGUUUACGACCUCGAUGUUGGAUCAGGGUAUCCCAGUGGCGCAGCCGCUA